GGUCCUAUGGCUCAGUGGGAGAGCGUCCCCUUCACACGGGGAAGGUCGCUGGUUCGAUCCCAGCUAGGACCACCG
rnacentral:tRNA from 7 species